ensembl:lncRNA
GUAAAGUAGCAGUGUAGUAAAUAUGAUAAGUAUGGCAUGAAUUAUACAUUUGAGUUUAAAUAUUUUCAUUAUUUGAGAAUAAAGAGGACAAGGAGUGACCAAAUCAAGUAUUCUAAAGAGCUGUUUGAUAAACACACAAUUAAAAACACCUCCUAAAUGACAAAAACCUGAUUUCCACCAUCCCUUGGGUCUAGCACAUCUGCAUCAGAGAGUAAAGAUGAUGAGAAAACACCAGUGUAGACAUCAGCCUUCAUUCACACAGCGGUUGCUUCUGCAGUAUUUGCUGACUAGCAGAGUGAUGGAAACUUCAAGCUGUGUGAUAAGCAUUAUUAAUGCAGGAGGCAGCAGACGGGAAGCAGGGAAGAGAAACACACCAGCUCUGCUAGACCAUGUCCAGGCGGCUCGCUGCGAGUGUUAGAUAAGGGCACACGUUUGCAUCCUCACUGCCGGCCUCCUGCCGGAACGUCUCCUCUCUGCCUCUAUGUUUUCUCUCCUCCUGUCCUUGUGGUUUCUCCUCUCUCACCAUUUGUCACUGCUCAGAUUCAGAAGAGGAAAUGACAGGUGAAGAUGCUUGCCUGGUGCCCAGUGAAGAAGACUCCUCUGAUGAAGAACUGAGACGAAUCACAGAUGCAGAAGAACAAAAGGAUAGCUUUCCCUCUCGGUGCCCCACCACGACCCCUCCGGCAGACCCUCAUUUCAUUUUCACAAACCUCUCAAAGUCAGAAAAUGACAACACAGAACCAGACCUCUUACAGGAUCUUCUCAGUUGUAGGGCAGGAGUCCUGGAGAUCCAGCAGCAGUCUUCAGCAUCACGCAGAGGAAGAGCUGGUCGCUGUGCUGAUGAACGCUCGGCCCGUCAGUAGCACCCCUUGUCCCCUCAAACCAGGCCGUAGCAGAGUGUCAUCACACAGGCUGUGUUUCUCAGGCACCAUAAACAUAUGUUCUCCCAUCUCUUCUCGGCCCCUGAGUGCCGGGACUCAUCGGCCGCUGUCUCUUGCUGCUGAGGAGAUCAUGGAGGUCCAGACCGUGGAGCAGCUCGAUCUCCAGGACUCUGAUGGAGAUAGGGAGGAUUGCCUGGCUCUGGCCUGCCUUGAGGAAGAUAGCAAACAUAUGAGCACUACACCAUU